AAGAUUUUAAGUUAUAUUAAACUAUCAGCCUUCAAAGUUAAAAAAACCAACUAAAUAGGUAAGUCUUA
rnacentral:tRNA from 2 species